rnacentral:rRNA from 1 species
GCCCUUUUCCGGUUGAUCCUGCCGGAGGCCAUUGCUAUCGGGGUCCGAUUAAGCCAUGCUAGUCGCACGGGUUUAGACCCGUGGCGGAAAGCUCAGUAACACGUGGCCAAACUGCCCUGUGGAUCAGGAUAACCUCGGGAAACUGAGGCUAAUUCUGAAUAAGGCUUACAUCUUGGAGUAGAGUGAGUCUGAAAUGCUACCGACGCCUCAGGAUGUGGCUGCGGCCGAUUAGGUAGACGGUGGGGUAACGGCCCACCGUGCCCAUAAUUGGUACGGGUGAUGAGAGUCAGAGCCCGGAGACGGAAUCUGAGACAAGAUUCCGGGCCCUACGGGGCGCAGCAGGCGCGAAACCUUUACACUGCACGGAAGUGCGAUAGGGGAAUCCCAAGUGCGAGGGCAUAUUA